UACGAAGGGUGCUAGCGUUGUUCGGAAUCACUGGGCGUAAAGCGUGCGUAGGCGGCUUUCCAAGUCAGGGGUGAAAUCCUGGGGCUCAACCCCAGAAUUGCCUUUGAAACUGGAAAGCUAGAGUAUUGGAGGGGAUAGCGGAAUUGCUAAUGUAGAGGUGAAAUUCGUAGAUAUUAGCAGGAACACCGGUGGCGAAGGCGGCUAUCUGGACAAUUACUGACGCUCUGGCACGAAAGUGUGGGGAUCAAACAGG
rnacentral:rRNA from 1 species